rnacentral:other from 1 species
CCCUUCCUGCUCGGUGCGUGAUGGGUUCUUUUAAACCCACAUUUAUCAAACGGGACGCCCCCUCACGGCGCGGCUUGCAGGCCUCCCGGUCCCCUCUCCGGAGGGCGGCUGGACGUUGGAAGCAGUAAACCGCUGUGGAGGCGACCCACCUGCCAUCCGUGCAGGUUUUAAUUGGCCCACACGGCCAGAGCGGGAUCUAU